rnacentral:rRNA from 1 species
GAGUUUGAUCUUGGCUCAGAUUGAACGCUGGCGGCAUGCCUUACACAUGCAAGUCGAACGGCAGCAUGAUCUAGCUUGCUAGAUUGAUGGCGAGUGGCGAACGGGUGAGUAAUACAUCGGAACGUGCCCUGUAGUGGGGAGUAACUAGUCGAAAGAUUAGCUAAUACCGCAUACGACCUGAGGGUGAAAGUGGGGGACCGGCAAGGCCUCAUGCUAUAGGAGCGGCCGAUGUCUGAUUAGCUAGUUGGUGGGGUAAAGGGCCCACCAAGGCGACGAUCAGUAGCUGGUCUGAGAGGACGAUCAGCCACACUGGGACUGAGACACGGCCCAGACUCCUACGGGAGGCAGCAGU